UGCCUUUAUGUGUUGCCCGUUCAUUGCUUUAUGGUGAAUGUGGCGUCAACAAAGGCGCACAGCAAACUCUUGUAUCGGCCUUAGCAAGGCUCCUCACCAGUGACCUUGUCCUAAGUUCUAUACCAAGUACAAAU